AUCGUCCUUCAGAAAGCUUAGCUUGAUUAUUUCUUUGCCGUUCUCUUGUUUGGUCUUGUGAUCUGCACAGAAAUGAAGGAAAAUCAAAGCAUCCUUCUCUUCUCAAAUAGGAAGAGACUCAAACACAAACAUGUUUUGGUUCAGAUUAUGAAUCACAGACAUCAUUACAUCGAAUCCUUGAUUUACCAGACAAUGUAACUUGAAGGGAGCAAAAGACAUCUCUUGC
rnacentral:lncRNA from 1 species